rnacentral:lncRNA from 1 species
CACCAACAUCAUCAGGUUAUUUUCUCUGCCCUCCACAGGAUCGUGGAAUCUGGAUCUUGUCCCCUUUUGACCUUGCAAACUUGCGUCAAGAGUAUAGCCCUCGUAAUGCCAACUGAGGAAUGCCUGGCUGUCCCCAGGAGUACCCACAUUUGAGAUGAUCCGUUAGUCGCCAUCAAGACCCGAAUAGACCGGUAGCCAAUGAGAACGUCGGUCUUCCACAAGCCCGCCUCCACAGAACUGCAGGCCUUGUCGGGCCUCAUCUAGCCUCCUCAUGGGAACAAGUUCUGAUGUUCGGACCUGACCUUGACGAGCGUGCACCUUGUCAUUCUCCUGGAGAAGGUAAGUCACCAGUGGAACAUGCACAUGACUUUUCAGUCUCUUUG